rnacentral:tRNA from 1 species
GCAUCGGUAGCCAAGUUGGUAAGGCGAUGGUCUGCAAAACCAUCAAUCGCGGGUUCGAGUCCCGCCCGAUGCU